GACGAACCGUGCGAACGUUGUUCGGAAUCACUGGGCUUAAAGGGCGCGUAGGCGGGCGAUCAAGUCAGGGGUGAAAUCCUCCAGCUUAACUGGAGAACUGCCUCUGAUACUGGUCAUCUUGAGUGAGGUAGGGGCGUGCGGAACUGAUGGUGGAGCGGUGAAAUGUGUUGAUAUCAUCAGGAACUCCGGUGGCGAAAGCGGCGCGCUGGACCUUAACUGACGCUGAGGCGCGAAAGCCAGGGGAGCCGAACGGG
rnacentral:rRNA from 1 species